rnacentral:rRNA from 1 species
AAUCUUACCGGGUCCGGACAUACCGAGGAUUGACAGACUGUUAACUGCAACACAAGCUGCUAAGUUUUAAACUUAAUAGCUCUUUCAUGAUUAUAUGAUAGGUGGUGCAUGGCCGUUCUUAGUUCGUGGAGUGAUCUGUCUGCUUAAUUGCGUUUCAAAAUUUAAACCUGAGCGACAAGGUGCUGCUAUCGAAACUGUCUUUGAGUGUGAACUAUAAGUCUUUUGACUUAUGACCAUCACU